rnacentral:tmRNA from 1 species
GGGGGCGACAUGGCUUCGACGUGGAUCGCGAAACCCAAGGUGCAUGCCGAGGAGCAGGCUACCUCGUAAAUCCAUCUGCAAACAAUAUAGUUGCCAACGACGACAACUACGCUCUAGCUGCUUAAGCCAGCUAGCCUUCGCCCUGAAGCCCGCUCAUAGGCGUCAGGUCAGCGGGGGUAAUCUAAUUGUGAGAUCGCGUUGAAGCUCGUCUGGGGCGGAUAUGCUAAAAAUCACCAGAAUCGCUUUAUUACUUCCCCGCCACCCGGGUAGUGUAAAGUUAAAUCCAAAGGGCCGGAUAAGCAUGUAGAGCCAAAGGCAGAGGAUUUGCGGACGCGGGUUCAAUCCCCGCCGCCUCCACCA